UACGUAGGUGGCGAGCGUUGUCCGGAAUUACUGGGUGUAAAGGGCGUGUAGGCGGGAGAUUAAGUCAGAUGUGAAAUUCCCAGGCUCAACUUGGGCGCUGCAUCUGAAACUAAUUUUCUUGAGUGCUGGAGAGGAAAGCGGAAUUCCUAGUGUAGCGGUGAAAUGCGUAGAUAUUAGGAGGAACACCAGUGGCGAAGGCGGCUUUCUGGACAGUAACUGACGCUGAGGCGCGAAAGCGUGGGGAGCAAACAGG
rnacentral:rRNA from 1 species